AAAGAGCUUGCUCUUUCCGGAAUUGAGUGGCAAACGGGUGAGUAACGCGUGAGCAACCUGCCUUUCAGUGGGGGACAACAGUUGGAAACGACUGCUAAUACCGCAUAGUAAGAAAGAUUCGCAUGUUUCUUUCUUGAAAGAUUUAUCGCUAUGAGAUGGACCCGCGUCUGAUUAGCUAGUUGGUAAGGUAACGGCUUACCAAGGCGACGAUCAGUAGCCGGUCUGAGAGGAUGAACGGCCACACUGGAACUGAGACACGGUCCAGACUCC
rnacentral:rRNA from 1 species